AUUCUUUCCCCCAUUUGAACCCUAAACCUAGAAAAUCAGGGACGACACCCCCCUCUACUGUUCUUCUUCUUCUUCGCCUCAACUCGUUUGAGUUUUGAGCGAGUUCAUUCAUUGGCCCCCCUCCACGUCACCUUAUCCUCAACAGAUUUGUCAUACGAGUACGAUAUUCUCUAAAAAUUGUACGAUUUCGGAGUCAAAAGGACAAUAGUUGGACGAAUGAGAGCCGUGGAUAGAUGUGAAUCAAUCCAUGCCCUCCAUUUAUCUCGAAAUUGUUCAAAAAUCUGAAGAUUUCCGGAUUCUAGGCAGAAGCUUCGAGAUAUUUUGAGGUUUAUAUAUAAGAUGAGUUCUUUUCUUGUUAGGGAGAAAGAAAUUUUCAGAAAAUUAGGGAGUAAAAUUCUAGGGUUCUUGAAGUUUUCCAUUUCUUCAAGCCUUUUCUUUUAAAUUUCAGUCUGCAUCCUUUCAAAAAAAAAUAUGAAAGUUAUAGUCUUAGUUUUGAUUUUCGAUUCAAGUAUUAUUUUAUUUCGAAAGGAAUCAAAAAUUUCAAAUCUAAGCAUUUCUCUUUGAUCUCUGAUUUUCAAGAAUGUUUUUGAUUUGAAGUAUAAGUCAGGUUUUGUCACUGGGGUUCGGAGCUUUGGAGCUGUGAAUUUCCAACCGAAUUUCUGGUGCAUUUGGGAGAUGGCUAGUUGAUUUGCUGGACCUUUGGUUGCUGGAACUCUCUUCACAUUUUCCUUGAGUUUUAUUUGGCAUUUUGGUUGCCAUUUUUUGCUGUCCAGCUGAUUUGUGCGCACAUGUAGUGUGUUCAACUUUAAGAGGGCAGAUUUGCCUUGUGAUGCAAUCGUUUUUUUUAAGUUGACCAAAAGUAAGGAAAAGUUUUUUUGAAGUCGUAUUGUCAUAAUUAGUGGUAUAUCUUAAUUCACUUUAAUGAAUGUUUAAGUAUGCUAAGUAGUUUGAUGUUGUGCUUAUAGUAGAAUCAAGGUAGCAUGUUCAAUCUGAGUGCAGUAUACUCCCAGCCUAAAAUAAUAUUUUGCUUAUGAAUCCACUUCUCAUCAUAGCCCAAGCAUUGAUUCCCUUUUAAAAAUUGGUAGGAAAGAGAUGGCAUUGCAUUUUCUUUAUCUAUCAUCCCUGCGAUUGAUUGCUAAUGCAAAACAAAUCUGUACCAAAGGAAGUUUUACUAAAAUUUGUUUUGAAUGUACUAUAUUUGAAGUCAAGGAAAAUAAAUCAGUGUAGUAUUUUAAUUGCA